rnacentral:rRNA from 1 species
CCUACGGGUGGCAGCAGUGAGGAAUAUUGGUCAAUGGCCGUAAGGCUGAACCAGCCAAGUCGCGUGAAGGAAGAAGGAUCUAUGGUUUGUAAACUUCUCUUAUCGGAGAAUACAGGUAUCCACGUGUGGAUAUUUCCAUGUACCCUAUGAAUACGCAUCGGCUAAUUCCGUGCCAGCGGCCGCGGUAAUACGGAGGAUGCGAGCGUUAUCCGGAUUUAUUGGGUUUAAAGGGUGCGUAGGUUGUUUUUUAAGUCAGAGGUGAAUGUUUGUGGCUAAACCAUAAAAUUGCCGUUGAAAAUGGAAGACUUGAGUGUGUUUGAGGUAGGGGGAAUGCGUGGGGUAGCGGUGAAAUGCAUAGAUAUCACGCAGAACUCCGAUUGCGAAGGCAGCUUACUAAGCCAUAACUGACACUGAAGCACGAAAGCGUGGGGAUCAAACAGGAUUAGAUACCCCUGUAGUC